GAUUCUAGUGUUUACUGAAUUCAGGCAGCUCUUUUGUGUCCAGUUCCUGCUUAAAGUUGUUCUUGUCCUUCUGUCACUGUCAGUAAGAGAAUUAAACACGACCCAUUCCAACAAAAAGAAAAAUGAGGAAAAGACUAGAGACCAUACUAUUGAAACUGGCUAGAAGCCUUAGCUGGACUAGUUGCCAAGCUCAACUGGAAGUUGGACCACAUGGGAAUAGUCAGGAAUACCUCAAGAUUCAUCUUGUGGAAUAUUUGCCCUGGGCUAUCAUGGGCUGAUUUGAAGUAUUUCAAAAGGCCAGGAACUGAAAUAACUAAAUGUUCUAAACUUUUGCUCCACUGUCACUCUUGGAAAUGGUAUUUGAGUCUGCAGCACAUAUCCAAGUACUGGUCACAUGUUAUUAUCGGACAAAGAUAACCUAAGUAAUUAAAACCCACUGAUAAUAUAAAAUCUUGUUUCAAACAUGCCAUUUAUUUUCUACUCUCUUUUCUAGUGAACCAUUUAACCAGCUACAUUGAAUUGAAAGAGAAGAGAAUCUAUCCAGAGAAGGGAUGAUUUAUUGGGAGAACAGAUAAGAAAAGAAAUACUGGAAGUCAUAAAAAAAAGUUGAAUUAAAAUCUAUUCUUAGGAAGAGUAAGGCAAGGGGAG
rnacentral:lncRNA from 1 species